rnacentral:rRNA from 1 species
CCUACGGGUGGCAGCAGUGGGGAAUAUUGGACAAUGGGCGAAAGCCUGAUCCAGCCAUGCCGCGUGUGUGAAGAAGGCCUUCGGGUUGUAAAGCACUUUCAGUGGGGAAGAAAGCCUUGGGGCUAAUACCCUCGAGGAAGGACAUCACCCACAGAAGAAGCACCGGCUAACUCCGUGCCAGCAGCCGCGGUAAUACGGAGGGUGCGAGCGUUAAUCGGAAUUACUGGGCGUAAAGCGCGCGUAGGCGGUCUGAUAAGCCGGUUGGGAAAGCCCCGGGCUCAACCUGGGAACGGCAUCCGGAACUGUCAGGCUAGAGUGCAGGAGAGGAAGGUAGAAUUCCCGGUGUAGCGGUGAAAUGCGUAGAGAUCGGGAGGAAUACCAGUGGCGAAGGCGGCCUUCUGGACUGACACUGACGCUGAGGUGCGAAAGCGUGGGUAGCACACAGGAUUAGAUACCCCUGUAGUC